AUUGAACGCUGGCGGCAGGCCUAACACAUGCAAGUCGAGCGGAGCGGCGGAAGGGGGGGUACUGCCUAGGAAUCUGCCUGGUAGUGGGGGAUCACGUCCGGAAACGGGCGCUAAUACCGCAUACUAUCAGAUGAGCCUCGGUCGGAGUAGCUAGUUGGUGGGGGAAAGGGCUAGCAAGGCGACGAGCCGUAAAUGGACUGAGAGGAUGAUCAGUCACACUGGAACGUGGACACGGUCCAGACUCCUGCGGGAGGGAGCAGUGGCGAAUAGUGGACAAUGGGCGAAAGUCUUAUCCAGCCAUGCCGCGUCUGUGAAGAAGGCGUUGGGUGUGUAAAGCACUUUAAGUUGGGAGGCGUUACCAACAGAAUAAGCACCGGCUAACUCCGUGCCAGCAGCCGCGGUAAUAC
rnacentral:rRNA from 1 species